AUAACCAUCAAAGAAGAAUCAUGGGCGAAAAUAAUUAUUUGAGUACUAACAUUAAUUCUGUGUCACUGCCUACUCAGUGCCAUUAGAGGUAUUUUUCUUAUGUUACUAGUGCAAAUUGAGGACGAUUUGGAAAUUUCUCUUCUGACAAAUACUUCAGAGGGCAUCCUCCUUUCUCCUUUGGCUACAAACCCAGUUAACCUACCGUGGCCCUGAGACAGGCAUUGAAAGCUUCCAUUUGAUCUCAAGUUGUGCAGGAGUCAGCAAGAGGUCUUUAUUGAGCACUUUGAUGUACUAACGGGCUUUCCAGUGCCUUCCUCCCCUUCCUCUUAUUGUGUAGGUGAAGGAGCCAAGGCCAGAGAAGUCAAUGAAUGAGUACACACGUGUUGUGAGUAUAUGUGUAUCCUGAGCCCUCAUGCCCUCUCAACCCUACAUGUUAAGAACAAGACUUUCUCUUGUGUAACUACAGCACAUCGUGUAACUCAGCAUGUUUAAUAUUGAAAUCAGGUGGCAAAAUGACGAGAUUCUCUUUUACUCUAUUUGUUGACAUCGUUUGGAAGAAAUAGCUUUUCUUGGGAUACCUGGCUGGCUCCUUGGUGGAGCACAGUAUUCUUGAUCUCGGGGUUGUAAGUUUGAGCCCCAUGUUGGGUGUAGAGAUAACUUAAAAAUAAAAUCUUAAAAAAGAA